rnacentral:rRNA from 1 species
UACGGGGGGAGCAAGCGUUGUUCGGAUUUACUGGGCGUAAAGGGCGCGUAGGCGGUCAGCACAAGUCAGUUGUGAAAUCUCCGGGCUUAACUCGGAAAGGUCAACUGAUACUGUGCGACUAGAGUGCAGAAGGGGCAACUGGAAUUCUCGGUGUAGCGGUGAAAUGCGUAGAUAUCGAGAGGAACACCUGCGGCGAAGGCGGGUUGCUGGCUGACACGUGACGCUGGAUGCGCGAAAGCCAGGGGAGCGAACGGG